rnacentral:rRNA from 1 species
AACGCUGGCGGCGUGCCUAACACAUGCAAGUCGAGCGAGACGGUUAAGAAUGAUCCUUCGGGUGAAUAUUAACUAGACAGCGGCGGACGGGUGAGUAACGCGUGGGUAACCUGCCUUAUACUGGGGGAUAACGUUUUGAAAAGAACGCUAAUACCGCAUAAGCGCACAGUAUCGCAUGAUACGGUGUGAAAAACUCCGGUGGUAUAAGAUGGACCCGCGUCAGAUUAGCUAGUUGGUGAGAUAAAAGCUCACCAAGGCGACGAUCUGUAGCCGACCCUGAGAGGGUGAUCGGCCAACAUUGGGACUGAGACACGGCCCAAACUCCUACGGGAGGCAGCAGUGGGGAAU